CGUGCAGGCGGUUCGGUUAGUUGGAUGUGAAAGCUCCUGGCUUAACUGGGAGAGGUCGUUCAAUACUGCCGGACUUGAGAGUGGUAGAGGGAGUUGGAAUUCCGGGUGUAGUGGUAAAAUGCGUAGAUAUCCGGAAGAACACCAGUGGCGAAAGCGGACUCCUGGACCAUUUCUGACGCUCAGACGCGAAAGCUAGGGGAGCGAACGGGAUUAGAGACCCCGGUAGUCCUAGCUGUAAACGAUGUAGACUUGGCGUUGGAGGGGUUAAAUCCUUCAGUGCCGAAGCAAACGCGAUAAGUCUACCGCCUGGGGACUACGGCCGCAAGGUUAAA
rnacentral:rRNA from 1 species